AUUGAACGCUGGCGGCAGGCCUAACACAUGCAAGUCGAACGAGUGGCGGACGGGUGAGUAAUGUCUGGGAAACUGCCCGAUGGAGGGGGAUAACUACUGGAAACGGUAGCUAAUACCGCAUACCAUCGGAUGUGCCCAGAUGGGAUUAGCUAGUAGGUGGGGUAACGGCUCACCUGGGCGACGAUCCCUAGCUGGCCUGAGAGGAUGACCGGCCACACUGGAACUGAGACCGGGUCAAGACUCCAACGGAAGGCAGCAGUGGGGAAUAUUGCAAAAUGGGCGCAAGCCUGAUGCGGCCAGGCCGCGUGUAUGAAGAAGGCCUUCGGGUUGUAAGGUACUUUCAGCGGGGAGGCGUUACCCGAAGAAGAAGCACCGGCUAACUCCGUGCCAGCAGCCGCGGUAAUAC
rnacentral:rRNA from 1 species